rnacentral:rRNA from 1 species
AUUGAACGCUGGCGGAAUGCUUUACACAUGCAAGUCGAACGGCAGCACGGGGGCAACCCUGGUGGCGAGUGGCGAACGGGUGAGUAAUACAUCGGAACGUGCCCAGUCGUGGGGGAUAACGUAGCGAAAGCUACGCUAAUACCGCAUACGAUCUCUGGAUGAAAGCGGGGGACCGCAAGGCCUCGCGCGAUUGGAGCGGCCGAUGGCAGAUUAGGUAGUUGGUGGGGUAAAGGCUCACCAAGCCGACGAUCUGUAGCUGGUCUGAGAGGACGACCAGCCACACUGGGACUGAGACACGGCCCAGACUCCUACGGGAGGCAGCAGUGGGGAAUUUUGGACAAUGGGCGAAAGCCUGAUCCAGCCAUUCCGCGUGCAGGAUGAAGGCCCUCGGGUUGUAAACUGCUUUUGUACGGAACGAAACGGUCCUGGUUAAUACCUGGGGCUAAUGACGGUACCGUAAGAAUAAGCACCGGCUAACUACGUGCCAGCAGCCGCGGU